CUACGGGUUGCACCAGUGAGGAAUUUUGCGCAAUGGGGGAAACCCUGACGCAGCAACGCCGCGUGAGCGAAGAAGGCCCUCGGGUCGUAAAGCUCUGUCAAGUGGGAAAAAAAUCUUUUGAUCAAUAGUCAAAAGACUUGAUGGUACCACUGGAGGAAGCACCGGCUAACUCCGUGCCAGCAGCCGCGGUAAUACGGAGGGUGCAAGCGUUGUUCGGAUUUACUGGGCGUAAAGAGCGUGUAGGCGGUUUAGCAAGUCAGAUGUGAAAGCCCUGGGCUCAACCCGGGAAGUGCAUUUGAAACUGCUUCACUAGAGUAUGGGAGAGGGGAGUGGAAUUCCUGGUGUAGAGGUGAAAUUCGUAGAUAUCAGGAGGAACACCCGUGGCGAAGGCGAUUCUCUGGACCAAUACUGACGCUGAGACGCGAAAGCGUGGGGAGCAAACAGGAUUAGAUACCCGGGUAGAC
rnacentral:rRNA from 1 species